UACGUAGGGUGCGAGCGUUAAUCGGAAUUACUGGGCGUAAAGCGUGCGCAGGCGGCUUUGCAAGACAGAUGUGAAAUCCCCGGGCUCAACCUGGGAAUUGCAUUGGAGACUGCAAGGCUAGAAUCUGGCAGAGGGGGGUAGAAUUCCACGUGUAGCAGUGAAAUGCGUAGAUAUGCGGAGGAACACCAAUGGCGAAGGCAAUCCCCUGGGCCUGUACUGACGCUCAUGCACGAAAGCGUGGGGAGCAAACAGG
rnacentral:rRNA from 1 species